AUUAAAUGUAAUGUAGCUCAGGCAGUUCUUCUGAUUUAAUAUGGAAAUAUGCUUAUUAAAAAUGCUUAUUUCUAACAAGCAGAUGCUUCUCAUGACAUGCGUGGUUGCUAUUUUAUUGUCUGACUUCAGUAUUGCAAAAGAUUGGUGCUACUUUGGCUGUGAAAACUCUCUCCCACAUUGGGGUAAACACUAUCCCAAAUGUAAUGGUCGUAAACAGUCUCCAAUCAACAUCGACACCCAGAAAGUCAUUAAAAACCAAGAGCUGGCAUCUUUUGAGCUGAUUCACUUCAGUCUUCCUCACACAAUGAAGAUGCUGAAGAAUAACGGACACACAGUUGAAUGUGAGCUGAAGGCAGGAGCAGUAGGAGUUCGAGGAGGAGGUCUGAAGCACAAAUACACCGUCCUGCAGUUCCACUUCCACUGGGGUGGAAAGGACCUGAUGCACCAUCCGGGAUCCGAGCACUCUCUGAACGGACACAGAUCGCCUCUAGAGAUGCACAUUGUAAGCCGGAGAAGUGAUCUUAAUGACAGCACAGCAGCAAAAGUUCAAGACGGCUUUGCUGUAAUGGGCUUUUUCAUUGAGGGCGACAAAAAGGAAAAAGAAAAGGAAAAGACGACAUCAAAAGUCUGGGAAAGCUUCACCGACUAUCUCCAAAAAAUACCAAGAAAGGGAGACAAAGUCAGAAUUAUGGAGCCCUUUUCUAUGCAUCAGCUCUUAAAGGGGGUUGAUCUCAGCAAGUACUACCGCUACAAUGGCUCCCUGACCACCCCUCCUUGUGAUGAAGCUGUGGUUUGGACCAUCUUCAAGGACCCAAUUAGGAUCGGCAGAGAUCUGCAGUUUCACUGUCCACUCUGUUCAAAUGUGGAUGAAUGGCUACACAUAGAUGUGUGCACUCACUGCCAGAGCUGUGUGAUAUCUCUACCAUCCUGCUUUUGUUGGGCUGCUCAGAUUCCCAACAAAAAUUUCUUUUGACAACGUGUUCCGGCCGCAGCAUCCUCUGAACAAUCGUGUGGUCUAUUCUUCCGCUGCUCUCACCGCAGGUCACGCAGGAACAGCUGAGCACGUCCUGCAGCCACCGACCAUUCAGGGGCCCUAAUCUGAAAAUUCUGCGCAUAGAUUAAUUGCCAAAGCUAUUAUUUUAAUCAUUGUCAGUAGGAAAAAGCAAUGGAAUUGAAUGGCAAUUUAAUAAUAAAAAAUAGGUACGUUUUGAUAUAUUUUAGGAUAUAAAGGAGAAAGAAGGACUGUGUACUGUAAUUAUAUGGAUAUUGCAUUCAAUAUGUUUACCAUUUUAAAAAAAGUUGGUUAGCUGGUCUCAUGGCCUGACUAAGCCAGCUAUGCUGGUGUGUUUUGCAUGUUUUAGAGGGAUUUUCAGCUAGUUGACCGACUAAUCAAACAAACACCAGCUCAGCCAGACCGAGAGACUAACUUUAUCAACUGAACACUUCAACACCGCAUUUUAGUGAACAUACAAUUUAUUUAUUUUUAUUUUUUUGUUUGUUGAUUUAUUUAUUCUUAUUUAUAUUUUACCUUUUUUUUUUUUUUUUUUUUUUUAAACCUGUUCAUUUAUUCAUUUAAAGGAAUAGGUCACCUAAAAAUGAAAAUUUGCUUAAAAUUUGCAAUAAUAUAAAUUUAUAAUUCCUUCCGUUAAGUUGUCCUCUCACAUCAAAAUCCACCAACAUAUCUGGUUAGAACUGUUUUAAACUCUUUGCUUGUAAAUGGUGCUUGAACUGCGUAUUUCUCUCCUGAUUCAGAUGAGAUGACUUUUUUUCACUGAAGAAAGCAAUAAUAUAGGACUUGAAUUUUAGCGGAAAGAAACAAUAUAAGCUUUAAAAUGUAUUCUUGAUGGAUUUAUUUAUUACAAGCAUGCAGCUUGUGGCUGUUUUUAUCAGCUGUUUGGACUCUCAUUCUGAUGGCACCCAUUCACUGAUAAACUGCAUCUCAAUAAAUUAGAAUGUCAUGGAAAAGUUAAUUUAUUUCAGUAAUUCAACUCAAAUUUUGAAACUCGUGAAUGCACCUGUAUAUGCAUGUUUUUUCACAUGCUGGUUAUUUACCAAGGGUGCCAAAAGAGGAGGACACUGCAUGUUUAAUCAAGACAAGUUGAAUAAGCAACGGUUUAGUGACAGGUUACACCCCCACAAACGUAUUUAUGGGUCAUUCAAAACCUGCGAUCCGCUGUGCAAAACAAUAAUUGAAACCACAUGACCUUAUUCCUUUUGUAUGCCCAUGUACACACAAAAUGAAAAGAAUGAGAGAGGAAACAAAGAGAAGAAUAAAAAAGAAAAGAAAAAAAAGAAAGUCCAGCCAAAGCGAGUUUGAUGCCAGCUUAUAUAACUUCAUUUUACAAAACUGUUUGUUGUUUUAAAGCACUGUGGCUGUGAUGGAAAUAGCUAGAGCAGCUAAAAUGAAUGAAUAAAUAAAUAAACAAAGCUUUUUGACAACAAACAGAAUAACAGAUACUUAAUGAUUAAUAACCACAAAUGUUUAAAAAUAAAUGACAGAUCAUGUCAAUUUGAUGUAAAUGUCAUUAAUAUAAUCAGUAUUAUUUAAAUAUCAUCCAUUCUUCAAACUUCUUGCUUUAAUUAAUACAAUAUUAUAAAUGGGUAACCCUUUAUUUUGAUGGUCUAUUUUGAACAUUCUGUUGACAAUUAGUAACUUUGCACAUCCAUGUCAACUAACUCUCAUUAGAGUUUUAUUAGACUCUCUGCUUAAUAUCUGCUAACUCUUUAUUGUCAGUCUCCCAAGACAUUCUAGUAACUAUAAGUAACUUUGCAAGUACGUCAUCUUAAUCUAACCCUAACCCUACCACUCUACUAAUACUAGUAGAUAAUAUAGUCAACAGAAUGCAUUAAAGAGACCAUCAAAAUAAAGUGAAACCUAUAAAUGUUUCAUGACCCCAUGACGAACCUUGCUCAGGGGAUUCAACCCUUAUAAUGUCGACACAGCUGAUUAAAAGCCACAGCCCUACAAAUAUGCACAGAAUCUUGUGAGAUGAGAUAGCUGGUGCAUCAUGUGACCUUAUUGACAGUUUCAAAUACAUACUUCUUUUUCAUAAUUUUUUCAUAAUUCUUCAUGACUCCAAACAAAAGCUCCAGGAUUGUUAUCUUGGCAGGAUGCCACUUCAAGCGGAUGUUAACAUGGCUGUUUUCACAUGAUUGAUAUUGUGAGUGUAACUGUGGUAUGCAGUUCAAGUGUACUACAUGCUCUAGUAGUCACUGGAUCAGGUCAAGACUUAAAUAUUUUAUGACAAUAUCUAACUGUACCGUUUACACCUAUUUUAUUUACAUACUUUCACAUUUACCAAAAAAUUCCAUGUGUUUUGUUUUUCCCAUUUUCUUUGUCAUGAUUUUGGGGCAAGACUGCAGGAAUUAUUAUUAUUAUUAUUAUUUUUGGUUUUAGUUUUGCCUAUGCAAUACUUUCGUUUUAUAACCAUUUGUUUGGUAUUUUGAAGUGUGCAUGCACAUUGUUUCUAGGUGUGUCUUGUUUUGUUAGGUAACUGUUAAGAACAGGGUUUUUCAUUCCUGUUCUUCCAGGGACACUUUCCUAUUUCCUCAAACAAUAAAUUAAUGUCUAAGUUUAUUUAAAAUUUACCGCCACAUGCCCAAAUUUGAAGGAAAGUUUCAGGAAUGAGGAACUCUGUUAUACCCAUGUACUAUUUAUGCAAGUUAUUUAUUUAUUUUAAAGGAAAAUGUCUUAAAAUGCAGUG